UCGUAAUGAAAUUCAAAGAAAAAUGGAAAGUUUGUUUGAUCACAUAGCAACUUGGGUUACAUGUUUCACAGGAUAUGUUGCUAGAUCGACCAGGACUAUAUACCGUGAAGGCAGACAAUGUGAAGAUGGCAAGUCUUUUUACUUUUAUUGGUCUCCUUCUUGCAUCCUUUAUCAGUUAGUUUCUUAAACUGUAAAUUAAGUGGGUUUUAAAUGUGAAUUAUUACAGGCCAACAAGUGGGCAAAUUUCGACCAGUGUAUAAAAUUCCACUUGGCCAAGCAAACACUUGUAGACUAUUCGUGUGUGCAAAGAUAGCAGCUAUCAUUCUUCAGGACGAAUUAAUAAGCCAACUAUGUGUAUGAUGGAAGAGUGUAAAACCAAGAGCUCAAUGACAUUAGUUCAUAAUAGAUGCAGAAUGAAAUGAAUCACUGAAGGGGUAGUUGUAAUGGAGGCAUUAUUGUUGGAAAAUCUCCCCAAAAUGUUGAUACACAACAUAGCACGCCAAAACAACUAUAAGAAGCUCGGAAUGUGAGUGCGAAGUACCUUAAGAUCUCUACCGUUUUUGCUUGUAAGGACACCUAACAUCACUGUUGUUAAAACAUAUUUAUCUAAUCCAGGUAGCUCCCAACCACCGUACUAGCAGGAAUACAGGUUCAUAUCUUAAAUUGCGUGGAAUUACAAAUGUGAAACGUUGAAGUACAAAACCUGUAGACGCUCCGUCUGUGGAGGGAUCUAUCAUGUUUUGCUAAUCACUUGGUUUAUUAUUCUUGUAUUUCAUAUGAUAAGGAUAUUUUUGAUGGAUUUCGGUUCUAUCUAACGCAACGGAAGCAUGCAAUCAAUA